rnacentral:rRNA from 1 species
UACGGAGGGUGCAAGCGUUAAUCGGAAUUACUGGGCGUAAAGCGUGCGUAGGCGGUUUGUUUAGUCAGAUGUGAAAGCCCCGGGCUCAACCUGGGAACUGCAUUUGAUACUGGCAGACUAGAGUAUGGUAGAGGGGGGUAGAAUUCCUGGUGUAGCGGUGAAAUGCGUAGAUAUGUGGAGGAACACCAAUGGCGAAGGCAGCCCCCUGGGAUAACACUGACGCUCAUGUACGAAAGCGUGGGUAGCAAACAGG